rnacentral:rRNA from 1 species
UACGAAGGGAGCUAGCGUUGUUCGGAAUUACUGGGCGUAAAGCGCACGUAGGCGGGUUGUUAAGUCAGGGGUGAAAUCCCGGAGCUCAACUCCGGAACUGCCUUUGAUACUGGCAAUCUAGAGACUGGAAGAGGUUAGUGGAAUUCCCAGUGUAGAGGUGAAAUUCGUAGAUAUUGGGAAGAACACCAGUGGCGAAGGCGGCUAACUGGUCCAGUACUGACGCUGAGGUGCGAAAGCGUGGGGAGCAAACAGG